rnacentral:rRNA from 1 species
AGAGUUUGAUCCUGGCUCAGGAUGAACGCUAGCUACAGGCUUAACACAUGCAAGUCGAGGGGAAACGACAUCGAAAGCUUGCUUUUGAUGGGCGUCGACCGGCGCACGGGUGAGUAACGCGUAUCCAACCUGCCCAUCACUUGGGGAUAACCUUGCGAAAGUAAGACUAAUACCCAAUGACGUCUCUAGAAGACAUCUGAAAGAGAUUAAAGAUUUAUCGGUGAUGGAUGGGGAUGCGUCUGAUUAGCUUGGUUGGCGGGGUAACGGCCCACCAAGGCGACGAUCAGGUAGGGGUUCUGGAGAGGAACGGUCCCCCANAUUGGAACUGAGACACGGUCCAAACUCCGUACGGGAGGCA